UGCGCNGCCCUACCAUGCAGUCGAGCGGAUGAGUGGAGCUUGCUCCAUGAUUCAGCGGCGGACGGGUGAGUAAUGCCUAGGAAUCUGCCUGGUAGUGGGGGACAACGUUUCGAAAGGAACGCUAAUACCGCAUACGUCCUACGGGAGAAAGUGGGGGAUCUUCGGACCUCACGCUAUCAGAUGAGCCUAGGUCGGAUUAGCUAGUUGGUGAGGUAAAGGCUCACCAAGGCGACGAUCCGUAACUGGUCUGAGAGGAUGAUCAGUCACACUGGAACUGAGACACGGUCCAGACUCCUACGGGAGGCAGCAGA
rnacentral:rRNA from 2 species